rnacentral:lncRNA from 1 species
GCCCCAGGCACCCGAUGAUAGUGGACCCGUCAGCAACCUCAAAAAUAUCCGAACUUCUCUUAAAUUACAGAGACAAAGAGCCAUUCCGUUUCAUCAGACAUCCCGAUCGAGCUUCAGCCGUCAGGCCUGAACUCUCUGGCAAGUCACAAUAAUGGCCACUACCCCACUCCACUCUCUAUAACAGAUUCCACGUGGCUCCACCACUCUCUGGCAAGUCGUG